rnacentral:rRNA from 1 species
GACGAACGCUGGCGGCGUGCUUAACACAUGCAAGUCGAACGGAAAGGCCUGCUUUCCCUUGUGGAUUGCGGGUACUCGAGUGGCUAACGGGUGAGUAACACGUGAGUGAUCUGCCCCCAACUUGGGUAUAAGCCUGGGAAACUGGGUCUAAUUCCCGAUAGGACUGCAGGGUGGUGCCUGUGGUGGAAAACGAUUUUCUAGUGGUUGGGGAUGAGCCCGCGGCCUAUCAGCUUGUUGGUGGGGUAAUGGCCUACCAAGGCGGCGACGGGUAGCCGGCCUGGGAGGGUGGACGGCCCCAUUGGGACUGCGAUACGGCCCCGACUCCUACGGGAGGCAGCAGUGGGGAAUAUGGCACAAGGGGCGGAAGCCUGAUGCAGCGACGCCGCGUGGGGGAUGACGGGCUUCGGGUUGUAAUCUCCUUUCGACCGCGAGGAAGCCACCUGGUUGGAAGGGUGGUGACGGUAGUGGUAGAAGAAGCACCGGCUAACUACGUG